CUCAUUACACACGUGUCACGCACAUAAGAACCGCGUGUAAUUUACUUGAUGAUGGGUGACAUUAUUACUUCCGUCAGUAAGGCGUAUAAAGGUCAGACAGAUGUAACACUGGCAAAGGACUCAAGCGCGGCGGAGGCUCACAGGCAGGGGGGCCGUUCACGCCAACUGCUGACAGCAGCUGUCACAAGGCCGUCCGGUGCUCCCCCAUCCACCGGAUAUUGGAUAACAGGCUUUGGCCGCUUCAGGGGCCAUGGUGCAGGAGCCAGAGGGAAAAUGACACGGUAUGAUGUGACGACGUGUCUGCACGGGCAUCUGACGCAGAGCCAGAAGGACCCGUCUGCCGCAGGACCAGCCCAGGCUGCGUAUUUUUGUUUUACAGGGUGGUUCAUGAAAAUGAACUUAUAAUCAUGAGAAAAGGGCUACCUGAAUGGGCAGGGAAUGCCUUAGACAGCAUACCUAAGGAACCAUGCAAAUCACUAACUACCUAUGAAACCAUGCUAAUUGCUAACUAGGAAACCAUGCUAAUCGCUAACUAACUAGGAAACCAUUCUAUUUGCUAACUACCUAGGAAACCAUGCUAAUUGCUAACUACCUUGGAUAGCAUGCUAAUCGCUAACUACCAGAACCCACAUGUUAGAAUACUACUAGCCUAUGAUAAGAAAAACAGAUUGUACUGUGACUGGGUUCAAAUGCUUAAAAAGUCAUUCUUGAGAUGAGCCUCUUACAGCAGAUGGAUUUUUGAAUAUUUUUUUUUUGAAUAAUGACGUCUCCACACGUUUAUUCAUGGAUAAAGUUGGACUUUUUAGGAAAAGAGCAGAAAUGCACCAAAUUGAAUGUAGACUAAGCUCUCAUUGCAAAGGAUGACUUUAAAUUAAGUUAAGGACUUAAAUUUAAUUUAAAUUUAAAUUUAGGAUUUUUUUAGGGUUGGUCAAUAGUUGUUUAUAAAGGCUGCAUAAAGGUAUCAAGACUUAGG